CACUUUUGCAAGUAAGGCGUCGUUAAAGUUUCUGAUAUCUUUAAAUCCUAACCCUCCAUCUCUCUUUGAUUUUGUCAUUUUUGACCAUGCAAUCCACACCAUUUUCUUUUUUCCAGAAGAAGAGUCCCACCAAAACCGUGUGAGGGCUGAUUGAAUCCUGUUACAGAGCGAUCCCGGAAGUUUGAAGCAAGACAUUGUAUAUGAAGGCAUCGCAGCCAGCACUGAUUUUAGCAUAGUAGUCUUUCCUGCUGCAGACAAGAAGCGUGAGGACCAACUGAGAGAUCGUUGUCGGAUUCUAUCAAUGAUUUGGUUAAAGAGAUCUCUCUUCUUUCUCCCAAACAUUUCAGGUAGGCCUAGGUAUUUUCCGAGGCCUCCAGUUCUUUGAAUUCCCAGGAUUUGUUGUGCUGUUGCUUUGGUAAUCUCUGUGGUUUUGGCUGAGAAAGUGAUAGCUGAUUUUGAUUUAUUUAUCAUUUGACCAGAAGCUGCUUCGUACUGUUGUAGGAUGUUCAUGAGGACUGUGCAUGAUUUAGAGUCAGACCUGCAGAAAAACAUUGUGUCAUCCGCAAAUAGUAGGUGGUUGACUCUGGGGCUGCCUUUGCUAACUCGGAUCCCAGGUAACCUUCCUUCAAGUUGUGCUUUCCUACAUAAACCUGAUAGAACUUCACUGCAAAGUAUGAAAAGAUAAGGGGAUAACGGAUCCCCUUGUCUUAUUCCUCUUUGUGGAGUGAUAGAGCCUUGAGCUGAGCCAUUUAGGAGGAAAGAGUAAGAUACUGUGGUUAUACAUUGCAUGAUCCAUUGUAUCCACUUGUGGUGAAACCCCAUUUCCUCCAUUACUCUCUUGAUGAAUUCCCAUUCAAUGCGGUCGUACGCUUUGCUCAUAUCAGUUUUAACCGCCAUGAAACAUCUCUUCUUAGCUCCUGAUGUCUUUAGAUAGUGCAAAGUUUCAUGUGUGAUAAGCACAUUGUCUGUGAUUGCUCUUUUUGGUACAAAGGCUGAUUGGUUUUCUGAUAUUAUCUCUUGUAGGACUGGCUGGAGUCUUCUUGACAGCAGUUUAGAGAUAAUUUUGUAAAAAACUGUGCACAAAGCAAUAGGUCUGUAGUCAACCAUCUUCUGUGGACUUUGAAUUUUUGGAAUCAAUCUGAUAUGAGUCUUAUUGAUGUUGCUUUGCAGGUUAGCAGAGGAGAAGAAAGACUGAACUUCUAAAACAAUAUUGUGGCCGACUGUUCCCCAGUAUGUCUGGAAGAAACUUGAUGAGAAGCCAUCGGGACCAGGUGCCUUAUCCGCAUGAAUGUAGAAGCAAGCUUCUUUAAUUUCUUCCUCUGAUGGCCUCAUAGUCAGGGCUUCAUUGGUUUCAGGUGAAAUACACGGAGUAAUGGCUUGUUUGACUGUGCUGCUGCUUUCUCCUUCCUGUGAUGUAAAGAGGGUUUGGAAAUACCCAGAGAUGACCUUGAGGAUACUGUCUUCUUCAUAGGCAGGUAUACCUUCAUUAUCCUCAAUCACCGAAAACUUAUAGAUCACUGUUCUGCUUCUAGUGAUGGCAUGAAAAUAACCUGUAUUUUUGUCUCCCAAAGCCAACCAUAACUGUCUACUUCUUUGUUUCCAGAAAUCUUCUUCUGCUUUGUAGGCCAAUAGUAGAUUGUUAUUGAUGGUGGAAAUCAGAUUCUGAUCAGCAGUUAGACUUGACAUUACCUCCUCUAGCUUCUGCCUAUAUUCCUCGAUGGUUUUUUGACUAUUUUGAUGCUUGGUCCUAGUCCAGGUAAUGAUUUCUUGGCGACACCUACUGAUUUUUUCCUCAACAUCCUCAGUGUCAUCCGCUUGCCAUGCUGCUUGUAUUAAAGCAGUGACUUCCUCAUUAUCUUUUAAUCGUCUAUCGUAUCUAAAUAUUCCUUUUUUCCUCUUCUUGGAUAGAUCAAAGUGAGUAAGAAGGGGUCUGUGAUCUGACCCUUCAAAGCGGAGGUACUCGCAGCGACUGGAUGGAUAAUCCUCAGCCCAGGCUCCAUUAGACAUAGCCCUGUCAAGUCUACAAUGUACAACAUGAUCAUGUCUCUUCCCUCGCCAAGAGAAGAAAUUUCCGGAGUGCCGCAGAUCGUACAAGUCACAUUCUGUCAUGAAUGACCUAAUGUCAACAAAGGUACCCUCAUAUCUAACUGGACCACCUUGUUUUUCUGAUGCAUCUAUGAUGUCGUUGAAAUCGCCUGUUAAGAACCAAGGCUCUUCUCUAUUUUUCCCUUGAGCAGUUAGUUGUUCCCAUAGAGCUUUCCUUUUACUUCUGUCUGGUUCUCCAUAGAGGAAUGUAGCAUAGAAAUAUUUUCCUGCUGCUUUAAUUCUUAUCUAUGAAAUUUUGGUUGGUUGACAGAAUUGAGACUUCCAUUUCUUGCUUCCAGAAAAGAGCCAAACCACCUCCUCCUGGGCUAUGUGGAGAAACCAAGUGGUGUGAAGGAAAAUUCAUCCAGUUAGUUGAUGUAAUAACAUUGUCGUCUUGAUUUUUUGUCUCCAUGAGGAAUAGAAUGUCAGGUGAGAUUGUAGAGUGAAUCUCACGCAAUCGCUGGCCUGUUGCAGGAUUCCCCAGCCCACAACAGUUCCAGCUCAGAACUUUUAAGGAAGAGGAUUUGGUGGAUUGGGAAAAUCCACCUUCUUCUUCACUAUAGCAGGUAUGAUUAUUCUUUUUGGAGCAGCAUUGCUUGAAGAGGGGAUGUCCCCUCCAUUCUGAAGACUAAGCUUUUGUCUUGCUUUUGAGGUCCUGCAGAUUUCAUUGGUUUUCUGCCUCGGAGAAGCCUCUUUCUCUGAUGUACUUUUUCGAUUUGGUGAGUUUUGGAUUAGGGACUUGUUUCUCUUACUUGACUUGGCUCCCAAAAGACAAAGAGGGGUCUUAUUUUGAGUUUUAUUCAGAGGAGGACGACCUCUUCUUUUUUUUGCAGGAGCAACAAUUGUUCCUUGAGCUUCCUCAGGAUGAAUUGGCAGGUCCUGAGUCUCCAACUGUCCAGUUAUAAGUGAGGUUUCCGCAGUACCCAAGUAAGAUUGUUUUGCAAUGAUUGCUGCCUCUAUCAUUUGAGAAGCUGUCUCAGCCAUAAGGCCCUUUGCUUCCCCUUGAAUGACUCGACGUUUUCUUGCAGCACUUUCAGUGGGGUCUGAACAGCUGAUAUAUUGAACAGUCACAUCCCUUAAUUCUCCCAUGACUUCCUCAGUUGUAGGAAUCAGAGGGGGAGGAGGAGGAGGAGUGACUUCCGAUGUUGUUACUGUUCUCUCAAGUGGGGGUCUCCUUGUUCUAGAAGUUUCUGAGCUGUCAGGCCUAGGAUUGUUUCUUGGUGAGGCUUUCUCUCUCCAAAACAUUUGUGGCUUUUCAUAAUUGUGGCUCUGUCUUGACUGGACUCUUCUAUGAUCAUCUCUAGAGAGGGAGUGGGUUCUUGAAGAAGAUCUUUCAUUGUAAGAAGGUCUAUGAACUGUUCUGGUCCCAUUAUAUCCUUCAGAAGCAUGAUGUGAGGUUCUGCGGCUUUGGUCCUCAUAAGUUCUGCGACUUAUGGGAGAGAGAGCAGGCUCCAUACUCUUUUGAAGCUCAUGGUUUCUUCUUUGGGUAUAUGUAUCCUUGUGUGAGUAGCCUCGGCUCUCAGAGAGCACUUCUUUGUUUCUAGGGGCUGCAAAGUUGUCUCUUGGUGUAUAGUAGUUUCUAGGCACCUCCUUUAGCUCAGGGAGAAUGUCUGUGUGGGGGGAUACUCCAGAUUUGCCUUUUUCUGCAAUGAAUCCUGGGCAGUUUUUCUGUUCAUGAGUAAGUCUCUGGCAAUAGGAGCAGUGGUUUUUGAGAUUCUUGUACUUGAGGGUCACUAAAGCUUCACUGCCAUCACGGAAAUCAACCAUGGUCUCCUUUGUCAGUGGUUGUAGACCGUCAAUUAGAACUCUGAUUUUUGCUGAUGAAUUAGUGAUUUCCAUGUUCAUCACGUCACCUAAUUCGUCUCCAAUAGUCUGUAGCAUUGCAGGUUGCCAAAAGUGUUUUGGAAGACCUUGGACUUCAAUCCAAAAUGGUAUCUUGGAUGGGAAAGAAUCAGAGAUGACAGGCUCCCAUUGUUGGAUUAUAACCAUCCAAUGGUCAUAAUGAUAAGGUCUGUUGUCUAGAACCUUCUUCAAAUCCUCCUCAAAGUCAAAUCUGAACUGGAAGCAGCCUCUUCCCAGAUCUGACCCUACAGCUUUGCCUUUCAGGUUCCAACGGUUCGAGAGGAAAGGAAAAAGGGACCAGAGUCUUUGAGCAGAAGGGUUGGUGAGUCUUCCCAUAAGGGUAAGGGAGUUUGCUGGUAUCAACUCAGUGGUGUCUAGAUCUGGAGCUCGGAUUCUUUUACGGGGAGGAGGAGAGAAACCUCUGUCAAUGCCUUUUCCUUUGAGGUGGUAAGGGAUUCUCUUUUCCAUGGUUUUCAGUUGGGGUUUAGGGAUUCAAAAUGAGUGGUGGGUUACUAGGGUUCCUCACUCGCAAGUGAGAGUUUUCACAAAGGGUUAAAAAGCUUUAAAAACUUUGACAGAAUUAAAGCAGAGUCUAGAAGAAGGUAGAGAAAACAAUACCAGCUGUUUGAGAUUUCUUGCUUCUGGCGGGUUUGCCGCAGCUCAGCAUCAAGGAGGAGGAUGGUUUAGAAGCAUAUUUGUCACCGGAGAAACGGAAGCUACCACCGGAUCUUUCCAUUUGUGUUGACAGACCGUUGGAUAUUGCUACUUUUAGUAAAAGAAAGUAGGUGAGAUUUGGUUUUUUGAAAGUUCCAUUCUGUUUUUGGGGUACAUAGGAACUCGUGCCUGGGAGAGUUUUCUUCAAAACUAUCAAUUAAACAAAACAAUAAACCCUAAUAAUUAAAUACCACUAAGAACCACCAAAUCAUAAAAACGCCUCCUUGAACCAACCCUCUCGUCGUGUUCCCAUUUUAACUUGUCUCUUUUCUUCACGUAAAAGCCAUAAAGGAAACAUCUUUGUCAUUCUCCCCCAAUAAUAAUCCUCUAUAAAGCCUCAAUUUUUUCUUGGGUCAAAGAUUUAGUUAACAUCGACGUGUACUCCGACAUCAUUAAAAUCGACGUUUGGUGGGUUUCUUCUCAUUCCUUGGUUUCGUCGCCAUAGCCUUUUCGAAUUAGAACAGGUUUGUUUCUUCUGCAUUCGAUUUGAUUUGCGUUUAAGAUAUCGAAUUUGAGAUCUUUAGUCACUUAGUAGCUUACGAUUCUUGAUUACUGGCACGCAUAGGAAUUUCUUGAAAUGGCUACUACGACGACUAUGUCUCAUCAAGCGAUCGGGUCUAUUGUCUCUCAUAGACCAUUUAAAGCUUCUCAGUUUCUGAAGGAGCCUUUGAAUGUUCCAAUGAAAUUCAGACCAAAAAGAUUCAAGAUUGAAGCAACUGCGUCUCAGAUUUCUGUCGUUGACAACACUUUCUUGUCUCCUACCAAGAACAGACCUCAAGUAUCCAAAAAGAAAUCAAGUAUGCUGCUUUUGGUCUUGGACUCAUUAUAUUAAGAGAAGAGAUUGAUGAACAAAACAUUGAAUUCAAGUUUUUAUGUUUUUUUAGAUGAAGCAGCUUUGAUAUUGAUUAGGCAUGGAGAGUCGUUAUGGAAUGAGAAGAAUUUGUUUACGGGUUGUGUUGAUGUGCCAUUGACUCAGAAAGGUGUGGGAGAAGCUAUUGAAGCUGGGAAGAAGAUUAGUAACAUACCUGUAGAUUUGAUCUUCACAUCAUCUUUAAUCCGUGCUCAGAUGACCGCAAUGCUUGCCAUGACUCAGCAUCGUCGCAAGAAGGUUACAAAAAGAUCUAACGGUUUAUUUGCUCUUUGUCAGGAAAUUGCUCUGUUUGACUUGUGUCAAUUUAUCUAGGUUCCAAUCAUCUUGCACAAUGAGAGUGUAAAGGCGAAAACUUGGAGUCAUGUGUUCAGUGAAGAAACUAGAAAACAAUCUAUCCCGGUUAUAGCGGCUUGGCAGCUGAAUGAGAGAAUGUAAACCAAAUGUCACUUCUCUUGUAUUACUUAUGUACAAAAAAAUUUGAUUUUAAAGUUUCAAUCUUUUUUCUUGAGUUAGGUAUGGAGAAUUGCAGGGUUUGAACAAGAAAGAAACAGCCGAAAGAUAUGGGACACAACAAGUUCACGAAUGGCGUAGGAGUUACGAAAUUCCUCCCCCGAAAGGCGAGAGCUUGGAGAUGUGCGCUGAGAGAGCAGUGGCUUAUUUUGAAGACAAUGUAUGAAUGAGAGAUUCUUUUAUUUUUACCAUUACUUAACAUAAUCGCUUAUGUAGAUCUCUAAUCGUUUAUGCAGAUCAAACCAGAGCUUGCAUCUGGAAACAAUGUAAUGAUUGCUGCUCACGGGAACUCAUUGCGAUCUAUCAUUAUGUAUCUGGACGAUUUAACUUCUCAGGAGGUAACAAAACUAUCUGGUUCCAGUCCAAUAUCUUUUAUCAUUUGGGUUUGCGGAUUUGCUGAAACUUAAGGUUGUUUUGGUUUUCUUAGGUUACAACUCUAGACUUAUCCACGGGUGUACCAUUGCUCUACAUCUUCAAAGAAGGCAAGUUCAUGAAACGAGGCAGCCCGGUCGGUCCUACUGAAGCUGGUGUCUAUGCUUAUACAAAGGUAAACCAAACUAAACCAACGGUUUCUUCAUCUUCUUUAUCUCCAUGGUUAUGAGCUAUGAGUAUACUGAUAUAAUGAUUCUUGGUUUCAGAGAUUGGCACAAUACAGAGAGAAGCUUGAUGCGGCGAGUCAGGCGACCCUUGACUAAUAAUGUCUUUCGGAAAUAAACCAGAAAAAUCAGUUACUUUUUUUUUGUUAUUUUUUUUUGUUUUUCGCUUAGCUCUUAUGUAGUGACAUAACAAUCAAGAACAGUUUAAAUAUGUAUUAGAUACACAAAUCACAUUCUUUCAUGUUAUUAAAAAAAAAAAGGCCAAUUCAAAAGGAAAUGUCUUUUUUUUUCUUUUCUUGUUUAUGUUUUCAGAUUCAGACAUUAAUAGUAAGAGGGAGCUCUGAAUCUCCAACGGUUAAGAAAUACUUUCCUUCUUCAACAACCAUAACUCCAACUUCAUUAGCUCUGCUCAAAUGCUCACAAAGACCAAUCUCAAAUUCCAUCUCCGCUUUCUCUCCAUUACUUAGCACAAUGCUCUUAAACCCGACAAGUUGUUUCUCUGCGCGUUUCCCGUUUUCUCCUCCUCUCUCGUGCCUCGCAAACAUCAGCACCGGAUGUUUUCCUGCCAUCUCCCCUUGAUUCUCCACUGUAACAAUAACCUUAGUCUUGGCUAUGUUGCAACCUUCUUCCCCCAUUUCCGAAACCAGAGUGUACCGAACAGAGUCCGAGUUGAGUUGAGCUUUAGAUUGGUUCAAGUAGAGAUUGGUUGCACCCAGGGUCUUGAACCGGUAAGAGUAAGUUGAGUAGCUAAGACCAUGUCCAAAUUCAAACACUUUAGGGCCUUUGUAGAAUUUGUAAGUCCUUCCAGGAUAUCCAGUUGCAGACCGCAUUCUCAUGUCUGUCAUCUGAACAUUCACAAAGCUCUGAGGAUACCAAGUCACUGGUAAUCUUCCUCCUACACAACACAUGAGUAAUUGAGUAUAAUCGAAAAUUAGAAAACAAAUCAAAGCCUUUGUCCCUAAUUGUUGAAGAAGAAGAAGAAAGACUCACCGGGAUUGUGAUCUCCGAAGAUGAUUUCAGCAAGAGCAAUCCCUCCGGCUUCUCCAGGAUAACCAGCCCACAUAAUGCUUCCGAUCUUAUCAUUAUUCGUAGCAAAUGAGAUAUCGACAGGACCGCCACAUAUCAGAACCAGAACCACAGGUUUCUUUGCAGCAUUGGCAACGCUUGUAAUGAGCUCUUGUUGCUUCCCGGGAAGACUAAGGUCCACACGGUCCAUAUCUUCUUUCUCUUGAGUCUGGUCUAGCCCCAUGAUCAAAACCACAUGAUCAGCAUUUCUCGCGAUUGCAACCGCUUGAUCAAUCGCAGCGUUAGAGCAAGCCACGGAAUCACAACCAUUGUGGUAAACAGCGUUUUUGACAUAACUACGUAAGGCAUCAAGGGGAGUCACGGUCUUACAAGGCGGACCAGCAUAGUUUCCAAGAAGCGUUUUAGCGACGUGAGCGUUUGGACCGAUUACAGCUAAAGACGAAACGCUGCGUUUAGAGAAAGGAAGGAGUUUAAGAUUGUUCUUCAAGAGAACUAUACCGUUACGAGCAGCUUCGAGUGCUAAAGCUUGAUGAGCCGGAGAACAAACAUCGUUAGGACUAAUGUUUCCAUAAGGUAGUUUGGUUGGAUCGCCGUUGAAGAGACCGAGACGAAUCCUAACAGAGAAAAGAUUGAGCAGAGCUCUGUCAAUGUCUGUUUCAGACACUUUCUUCUGUUGAAGAGCUGAUUUGGUAUGUUUUUGUAAGUAUGAUCCACAGUUUACGUCCAUGCCGGCUUUGAGGACAUCAGCAACGGCGUCUUCAGGGGUUUUGGCGUAGCCUUGAGCAUCGUGGAUGAUUGAGACUGCGUCACAAUCUGAAGUAAUGUAUCUGAAAAACAGAGACAAUUUGUUUAUCAAAUCAAAGUUGCGUUAAAGAGGCAAUAAACGAGAAGAAGAGAGGACCGAACCCGCGGAAACGCCAGAGCCCACGAGCGGUUCGAGUCAAGAGAUUUGGGUCAGCGCAAGAGGGAAUGCCAUUGACUCGGUUAUAAGCACACAUGAUGCCACUGGCUCGGCCUUCUUCUAUGCAUUUCUUGAAUGGUGGUUGGUACGUCUCGGCCAAGUCAGCCAAACUCACCUUUAAAGAAAAACCAAAGAAUUAUAUUAUUGAAUAAACAUAGUUAAAUUUUAAUCUACUAAUAAGUUUAAAUUUGAAGAAUAUUUUGUGAACUUAUUUAAAUUUUUUUUUUUCUAACAACAUUUUACUCGAUUCCGACCAGCCUCUCCACGUGAGAAUGUCAACAUUAAGAUUAAUAUUAAUAAUAAUGAUUAUAAAGAUUAGCACAUAUAUUCAUGACAAGACAUAAAGAUUAGCACAUAUAUUAUUCAUGACAAGACGUAAAGAGUGCAAUCAAGGAAUAAUUUAUGAACUAAAAAAACGGCAUUAUGUGAAAAUUCAACUUCGAGGUCCUAAAGGAUCACACUUUAAAAGAAAAGCAAACACAAAAAUGGAAAAAGAUGAAUCAAAAGAUAGUAAUAAAGCAUUAAGAAUAGUUUGAAUAAAGAGAAAGUAAUUUACCUGAGCAUUAAAGACGUAGCGAGUGAUACCUUUCCAACGAUCAAGAUCGUACGCUGUAAAAUGCUUACAACAAGCGGAGGCUUGGAGAUGAAUGGAGAGUGUUUUCCGACCAUCGAAAGAGUCGCCUUGUAAUCCUCUGACGUAAGCCACAGCGUAAGUCCCGGUCAUUAUCGGAUCCUCGCCGGGAGUCUCUUGGCCUCUUCCCCACCGUGGAUCUCUAAAUAUGUUAAUGUUUGGUGCCCAAAAUGUCAUCCCUUGCGCUUGCCCUGCGUUGUACACUCCUCUUGCUUCCUUUCCUAUCACCUAAAAAUCUCAUCAAUUCAAAAACAUUCUUAUUUAUUCGAAUAAUUUUAAAAAAAAAACAAAUCCUAAAACACCACCUAAAGUUUUAGCUCCAAAAAUUAACAUUAGUUAUCCAAAAAUACCAUAAACUAGGUUCAACCAUUUAGCAUUUAAUAUUAAAAAAAAUGUAACAUCCCUUAAUAUAUUUUUUUUAAAAGUUGGAUUUUAGUCGUAAGUUUCGAUAUUUCUUAGAAAUUCUCGAUUUUGUUAAAUUAAAGCUUCAAAAUUCCACCAAAAAGCUUAUAAGCACGAGAAAAAAGAGAGAGAAAGAAACGAACUUGAGCAAUGCGGAACCAUUCAUAGGAGUCGAAUGAAGCAGCGGUCAAGAUGACUUGAGGAAAGCUAGUGGCUGCUUUAACCGUUCCGUUAAACCGGAUUCCUGGACCGGCGUAGGCUACGCCGUGUAAAGCCUCCGACCACCAUUCGUACGCCGGAACUCCAAGACGUGGUAUCCCCGGAGCUGUGUUCCCCAACUGCGAUAUCUUCUCGUCAAUGUUUAGCCUCGAGACAAGAUCACGCGCUCGCUGGCUAAUUGGGAGGUCAGUGCGGCAGAACUGGUAGAGUUUGGUGGUUGGAUUCGAAGGGUCACAGGAGUGCGGCGGAGGAGCUGAUUCGACGCCGUGGAAGAUGAAGAGAAGGAGAAGAAGAAGCAGUUUAGCCAUGGCUUCGAAAUGCGGAAAAAGAGAUGAGAAACUGAUGAGUGUAAGAGAGAGUGUGACAGAGUCUUCUUCUUCUUAUUCGUUACCCCAAUUAUGUCUCUAAUGAAUUGACUUAAAUAACCUUCGGAUUCGACGGUGUGACCUAAGAAUUUAUUAUAUUGUUGUUUUUCAAUAACUCUUUUUUGACCAUUUAAUGGACAUCUCAAAAUUUUUAUUCAAUAGUUGAAUAAGUAUAAUGAAAAUGUUAAAUUAUGGUGUUGUGAAGUUUUUGUGUCUUUUUCUGAUUUGCUAUUUGAGUUUUAUUUCCAGAUUUUUAUCUCAUUUUAAAUCUUUGAGAUCAGUAGUAUUUUAUAGUAAUUAUUUUUAAAAAAUAAUUAUAUCAAAAUUCAUCAUUUUUUUACUAUUUAAAUAGAGAUUUGUUUCAUUUAAAUUUGGAUUACACAUAGAAAAACGUGUUAGUUUCCAUAUUAUCUAAAAUAAAAUAAAUAAAAUUAUUUAUUUCUAUUUAAUUUUAUGCUAAUCAUUAUUAGUAUGUAAUCACACAAAAAACAUAAAUAAGGAAACUAAUAUGAGAUAUAAAAAAAGAGUAGGAUAGGGUGUUGAAUUUUAUUAAAUAAAACUAUUGUAGAAUAUAAAAAAUUAUAUGAAUGUUGAGUUAAUAGAUGAAAAAGAAAAAAAAAUGAUGUGCAAUAAAUAAAAAGAAUGUUGAAUUGUUAUACCAUUAUUUUACGGGCCAAAGCCCAAUAAUAUUUUCUUCAAAUAGCUUUUAAGGUCUUUGCUUGAAGCCAUUUUGCAUAUAUUUCUUCAGUGUACAGCCCAAUUAGUCUUCAAAACGUUUUGGUAUCAAAAUAUGUAAUAGCAUUUUUAUAUAUCAAGAAUUGCUAAGAAAUGUACAAGUGAACCGUCCAACCAACCUUAAUAAGUGAAAAUGGAUAGCAAUAUUUGUUAUAACAUAACUUAUCAGGUCAGGCCAUUUGUCACAAAUAAACCUAAUUGUGAUGUAUAAAAGAGUUCACCUGGUCACGUAAUUAGGUUUGACUAGAUAAAAAUGUCGGUUUCAAAGAAAUAAUAAAAUGUUACUAGUAGAUAAUUUGUUUCUUUCUCAGCCAAGUGUUUGGUGGAAGGAGCUUUGUAGAAAUUCAUUUGAAGUAUAUUCUAACACAAAUUCAACAUGUUCAGAAUAGUUCACAGCUGGGUAUAUUUUAAAAUUACAAUAUGUCGAGUUUGUAUUUUUACUUUUUUUUUUUUCUUAAUGAAAUUCUGAUAGAAAUAAAACUCAAAACUAGUACAACGUGGAGGAAGCUAAGCGUAUGCAAAAAUUAUGACCGACAGGUGUCACUCCUGGUAGAAGUAGGCAAGUAGCAGUCUUUUUUUAUUUAAGCAGUAGCAGUCCUUGUGACGACAUAAGCUGGUCGUAACCCCGCUUAGUGGUGGUGAAUUGACGAAAGUGCCCAUUAAGCGACUGUGAGAUGUCGGUAGACUACGAUGGCCACGUUCCAAAGAGAGUGACACUAACAAAACAUAUUUCAUUACUAAGGGCUUGAUUGGUUCUCCCGCUAGCACCCUCCUAGCGGUUGCUAGCGGUCGGUUACGGUUGUUAGCAGUUGGUAUCAAUUAUAGAAACCGCUUCGUACCGCUUCAAACCGCUUGAAAUCGCUGAAUUUCAAAAGCUCCUUCCCGCAAGCGUUUGCGGUUGCGGACGGUAACGGUUGGAUUUAAAAAAAAAAAAAAAAAAAAAAAAAAUCAAACGUUUACUUAUAAUUAUUAUAACAUAUAUUAAUCUUAUAUAUAUAUCUUUCAUCUUUGUAUCACGUUCUCAUCAGAAACCCUAAUCAAUAUUCUAAAACCUUAUUUUCUCAAUGUCUUCCACCCAAACUGAUGAAAAUCAAUUUGAAUAUUUUUUUCUUUCAUUAUAUAUUGCUUUUCUUUUUGAUUGAAUAUAUGUUUCGAUUUGUUUUCUCGAAUAGAAAAUUACUUGCUUUUUGAUUGAAUUCAACGUUAUUUACAGUUUUUCCCAUUACUUCAUACAAUUUUUGGUGUUAACGACCCAGCAUAAAGUACUAUCUUAUUAUAAAUUUUUUUUAUUUUUGAAUAAUUAUUUAGUACUUUAUUUAUGGUUUUAAUUAUUAAGCAUGUUCAAUUUUUCUAAUAUUAUCAUAAUAAUAUAUUGGUGUUUUUAUUUCUUUUUUUUGUAAUAUUUUUUAUUUUUUUAGUCAUUUUUUAUUUAACUGCUACCGCACCCGCUGGUUUACCAGUCAUAAAACUUCCGCAAAUGCAUCCAUUUUCAAACGCUAAACCAGUCGUUCAAAACGCUUGGUAACGCUUGAAACCGCAACCAUCCGCUUCCGCAAACUCCCGCAACCGCAACCGCAACCGCUGCGUUUAAACCAGUCAGACCCUAAUUGUUUGAAAAUUUCCUCGUGGUCUAUAAAUUAUUAAAUACUUUUUUUUUUUAUUAUUAUUCAUUAAAAUUGUCUGACGCUUGUCUCUUCCUUUCGUUUUCCACUAGAAAAUUCAGAUAUUAUCUUAAAUAUUAAACUGUAAGUUGAAACACUGUUUUGAAUUUUGAUAUAAACUGAACACAUAUGGAAGUUUAGUCAAAAUUCUUCUUCACCAGAAUAUCCAAAUCGAGUCAUAAAUGGAAAACUAAUUAACAUGACAUCUAUUACGUAAUUUAAAUAAUUAAUGAAAAAAAAAAACAAACAAAUCCUUCUUUUUUAGAUAGAUAGAAAAAAAGCCAAAAAUCAACCGAGAAAGAUAUAGAAACAAACAAUAAUUUUGUUUUAAAACGAGAUCCCAAUAAUAUACAUCAGUAAGAUUUCAAAGUGUGUAAUUAGAAUAAACAAUAAACCCCCACACUAGUUGACAAAAAAAAAAAAAAAAAAACCCCCACACUUUGAAAGAUAUUUUGUUUCCAUAUUUGUCGCAUAUAAUUAAGUUUUUUUUUUGGUCAAUUCUUGAGAAAUUAAACGUUUUGUUUUCGACCAAGUAACGACUGUUCCGGUAAAUAUGUAGGUCCCAAACUUUCCCGCGGACUUAACUCGUUUGUUUUUUUUUUAUUUACUACCGGCUCUGACCGGUCCUACCAAAACCCUCUCAUUCCUCCACCGUUGUAACUUAUAUAAGUACAGGCCCUUAAAAACUCCAAUUCCAAAACUAAACCACACAAAGCUUUUGAUUGAUUACUGAGAAAGAUACAACUUUUGAACACAGGUUUUGUCUAUUUUGUCUCACUCUCUGUUCGAUUAUACGAUUGCGUUAGCUGUUUGUUACGUUUAUUGAUUUGAUAUUUUGUUCUUGAUCGAUUUCACACCAGGUUUUAAGAUGGAUAUUUUCGACAACUCUGAUCUUGAAUACCUUGUGGAUGAGUUUCACGCUGAUUUCGAUGAUGAUGAACCCUUUGCAGAGGUCGAUAUCGCCAGUGAUUCUGAUUCUGAUUUCAUGGACUCCGAUUUCGAUUUCGAGCUGGUAUGAUUACUUUAUGCUGCUCUGAUUUAGGAAAGGCUUGAAAUUUCAAUUGAUGUAAUGAAUAAUAAACAUGUUAUUGGUGUUUUUUAGAGUCAGAGUAAGACGAACAAUGAUACAUCAGCGUUAGAAGCUAGGAAUGGAAAAGAUAUUCAAGGGAUUCCUUGGGAGAGCAUGAAUUACACGAGGGGUAGAUACCGUGAGAACAGAUUGCUACACUAUAAAAACUUUGAGAGUCUCUUUAGAUCCAGAGAAGAGCUUUAUAAGGUUUGUCUAAGCCAAUCAAAGUUUCUAGCUUUUUGAUGAUGGAUGAUUUGAAAUCUUGAGUUUUGGUGUGCAUCUUUCUCAUGGUUUCUUGUAUUUGAUGUUGUCAGGAUUGCUUGCAAGUUGAGAAAGGAAAAAACUUUUACGACUUUCAGUUCAACACGAGGCUUGUUAAGUCCACAAUUGCACAUUUUCAGGUAGACUACUUUGCUUAUUUAUGUUUUGCAAUGUGUUGCAUACUCUGUUGCUUCAUUUUAUAAUUACUCUGUUGCUCAGCUCUUGUGUUUAAUUAUCGAGUCUGCAACUGCAAACAGUUGGCCUCUUAUCAAGCCUGAGUUCUCUAGUUCCAUGGAAUGAUUUUAUGAGUGGAAAAUUCUAGUUCCAUGUUGCUUUCAGUGUCCCAAUUAUUCAACACCGAGUCUAAAACCCACAACUUUUGGUGAGACCUGCCAUUGUUUAUAAAUGGCAGUUCAAAACUUAUCUUGAGGAUGAAUAUCAUGUGUAUCUGUUGUCAUUGUUUAUUACUGUUUGAUAUUUGAAUUUGCGAUUGUUCUUCCUGUUUUCUUAUGUUGAUCAUUGUUCCCACCCUCAGCCCUGUAGCUAGGGGUGUUGAUUCACACCAAAUCCUUUUCUUUUGCAGAUAAUCUUCAAGGCUGUUUAAAUUUAACCUGCUCGUUUCUAACUUCUCGAAAUAUAAUAACUUAGGUUCGAUGUUUUUACUCAGGUACAAUACUGUGUAAGGUUCUAACUGAUUCAAAAAAUGUGUCAUGAUAUGUGUCUAGGAUAGUCGAGGCAGAGCUGAUAAGUCUAACUGGUCCAGGCAACUUUUUAACAUCUUCAUACGCCUAGAAAAUUAUAGUCACAAAGUGUAUUAAGAUUCCCUUGCACAUUAGACGUUGCUUAGUGUCCACUGUUAAACCACGGGAACUAUAUUAUAUAGAAGACUUGUCGUUAACACGCUGCUGCGAAACAGUUUCUAUAUGCCUUAACCUUUUCUUAAACAGGUUGGGAGAGCAGCUGGCGCCUUAAGGAAACCUUUGUUAAUAUGGUAUGAUAGGAAAUGUUUGCUAAUCUACAAGGACUCUCUAACUUUGUCAUCCUUCUUUCUUACAGGAAAUCUUUUUUGUUCGAGCUUACAUAUGACUGACUAUAUGAGUGAUUCAUUAUCAUCUGCAUUUUUUCGUGAUACCAUGCUCUUGUGCUUAUUAUUCUUUCUUCUAGUUUUUUGGUCUUCUUUUUUUUUUCUAGCACAGUUGAUUCAUAGGUCUGUAAACGAUUAUUGCUAAAAUCUGAGACAUUAUAGAGUUUUUGUUUUCUUUUUGGCCUUUGUUUUUUGUGAGAACUUGCAUAUUCUCUUCUUCUUCUCUUUUUUUUUUUCUGUCUAAGAUGACAAGUUGUGUCUUAUGCGAGUAUCAUAGUCUCUAUUGUCUCAUUUUACAGCUGAGGAACUUGGUAUGGGCAACAUCAAAGCACGAUGUGUAUUUCAUGAACAACUACUCUCUCAUGCAUUGGUCAUCUUUGCAGCAAAGGGGCAAAGAAGUACUUAAUGUGGCGAAGCCCAUUGUUCCUACAAUGGUGACCAACCUUACUCGUCCUAUCACUUGUUCUUGAACAUCGGAAUUCACCUAUAUAUUAACUUUGGUAAUUUAAUCUGCAGAAGCAGCAUGGAUCAUUGUCGCAGUCUGUAUCAAGAGUCCAGAUAAGCACCAUGGUAGUUAAAGACGAUUUAAUAGUUGCGGGAGGGUUCCAAGGGGAACUUAUCUGCAAGGUAUAUUAAUACAUUCUGUGUUCUACAGUGAUCUAAUUGUUAAUUUGGUUUCUCACUUUGCUUGGUCUCUCUGAUUACAGAGAAUCAACGAACCUGAGGUUGCUUUCUGCACAAAACUAACAUCAGCUGAAAACGACAUCACCAAUUCGGUUGACAUAUACAACGCACCUAGGUAAUUACUAUAACAGAUAUAUAUACACUGGUUGCAAAAAAAAAAAAAAAAAAAAAAACAAUUCUGCUAAUCCUUGCUUCCUUUAUCCAUGUAGUGGCUCGUUAAGAGUCAUGGCCGCGAACAAUGACUGUACUGUCCGGCUAUUUGAUGCCACAAACUUUGCCUUCCUCAACAGUUUCACCUUUGAUUGGUCUGUAAAUGUAAGUUUCACCUUCUCUUAGAACUCGGCUGUUAUCAUCUGCUCUAGUCUCUAAGUGUUCCAUAUUAUUUAUGUUUUUGGUGCGUGUCUGUCUGUAGAACAUUUCCACCAGUCCAGACGGCAAGUUAGUGGCUGUUCUAGGGGACAGUCCAGAGUGCUUACUAGCAGAUACCGGAUCUGGAAAAGUGAUACACGGACUCGAAGGCCAUCUAGACUACUCGUUUUCAUCAGCAUGGCAUCCAAACGGUCAAAUCCUAGCCACGGGUAACCAAGACACAACCUGUAGGCUAUGGGACAUCAGGAACCUGUCUCAAUCCCUCAAAGUGUUGAAAGGAAACAUGGGAGCCAUCCGAGCCUUGAGGUUCACGUCUGAUGGACGGUUCUUAGCCAUGGCUGAGCCAGCAGACUUUGUACACUUGUUUGACACGGAAGCUGGUUACACUCAGUGUCAAGAGAUUGAUCUGUUUGGAGAAAUAGCGGGAAUCUCGUUUAGCCCCGACACGGAGGCACUGUUCGUGGGAGUAGCUGAUCGUACGUACGGUAGCUUGUUGGAGUUUAACAGGAAGCGAAACCACUCGUAUGUUGAUUCCAUAUUCUGAUCUGACUCCAAUCGUUUGAAGCAAUUUAAGGAGCUACAUAUAUAUAUAUAUAUAUAUGUGUGAGGUUAUGGUUAAAUUAUGUUAGUGGCUUUUGGAGGGGUUAAAAAGUCUUUGUUUUUGUGACUUUCCCUUUGUCAUGUUUAUGUGGUUUUUAGAAAUUCCAUCAGACUUACAUUUUUAUCAGGCAGUAUAUACUAGGAAUUGGACUAAACAAAAUAUGUACAUUACAUAAACUUUGAUGUUUUUUUUGUUUGGUCAAUUGUAGAACAUAUAUAAUUUGUAUUUACCUCUCUACAAUUAAAGUCCUUAAUUUAUACGCAGAUUAUAAAAUCAAUUAAGAAUUUUUUUGAAUCGAAUUCACAACUUGCACAUGUUAAAGACGGUCAUAGAUACAAAUUGCACAACUGUACAUUUGGAAGACAAUUCUGUUGAUACACUUAAUCAACCAAUAUUUAUUAUACCUUCAAUGAUAUAGCCAUUGUCACUUUUAAGGUUAAUAUGUUUGAUAUUAUAAUUACAAUUUCCAACUACCGUGCUAAGACUCGAAAUAUUUUUCUAUUAUUUUUAAAAUACACGAAUUUUUCAGCUCCAAAAAAAAUUACCAAUUAAUAUAUAGAUUUUUUUUUGUCAUAAAUUACCAAAUAAUAUUAUUUUCCAAAUAUAUAUUUUUUUUUAACAUCUUACUUUACUUUAUUAAAAUUGAAAGAGAGAUACGUAGUUAUUUCUUAGACAUACACAUAUAAUCAAGAAAUGAUUAACGUUUAAGAAGAAAAUACAAUCGAACAAGUGAAUUAAACGCCGCUUUCUUUCAUAAGCCUUACACGCUAAUAGAUUUUCUUUCUUGGUUAUAGCUUGUGUCCAUAAUUGUUGAAAUGGUGAGUAUCAUCUUCUGAAUCUCGUUCCAUGUAGACAUCCCCAAAGGCCCGCGUCGAAAUUAACGAUUGAUGAGCGUUCAUAUUCCUUGAUCAAUAAUGAUAUCCAAGGCAAAAAUUUGCCGAGGUAUACUCGUAACAUCAAAGACAACAUGAUCUCUCUCCACCAUAUCCUUAAACACUGCCUCGAACUGUUGCUAUGAACCGGUGUAUGCAUGAAACACCUCUCUAAUUCGCCUUCACUGUCAAUCCCAAUGAAACAGUGGGAAUGUCGGUCAACAUGGAGAGUUGAUAAACUGUUCACAGAGAUCACAUGCUUUAUUGAUUUCCAUGGUGGUUUCCAUGGCGGUUGUUUCCACAAUAAUGCAGUCAAAAUUUCAUCAUGAAACUGGACCGAUAAAUCACAGCCGUUUGAAAAUGAAUCAAACGGAGAGUAGCCGCCGGAGACCGUCGGAAAACCAUCGAUAAUUGUGAUCAUCCACACAUAAUCAAUAGGAAGAACAUUCAAAUCUCCUUUAGGGAAAUUGAGAGAAAUCAUCGCCUGAUCCGUUGAAAGAGAGGCGUCGCCAAAGACAUCGCGGGCAAAGGAAAACGAACCAUUACCAGCGGAUGAAAAAGUUUCAAAUUGAAAGAAAGAGCAACUGAAAAGCCAAAUUAUCGUUCCGCUCACCAAUCCCAAACUGGAUCAGUGAUCACCAUCAGCAAUUACAAGCGAAAAUUCGCCAGAUUUUGAUGAGUCACUGAGAAUCAGAAAAUGAGUAAGAACCAUAACCGCCGCGACGAGAAAACAUACUUGAGAUAAAGAACGGUUACGGUGGAUUGAGACGAGGAACAAAGGGAGAAGAGUAAAAGAAACUCCAGAAAUGAUCAUCAUCACUGAAUUCAUGGGCAAAAUAUUUGAAGCAAUUGAAUCUCCCUCGGAUUCAUCGAAAGCAAACCAAAUCGCUUUCUCAGUCGCCAGAGAGAGAACCCAAGUUUUAAUUUUUGGGUUCGUUGAUUAUUAUUCCAAAUAUAAUAUACAAACUUUAAAACAUAUAACCUUUAUAAUUAUGUGGGACAUGCUUACGUGGCUACGAAUUCGGAUCCGAAUAAAAACUAAAGUUUUAGCAUCGCAUCAUAUAACAACUAGUGGGCUGUUAAAACUCGA
rnacentral:lncRNA from 1 species